GAGCCAUUAGCUCAGGUGGUAGAGCACCGGACUUUUAAUCCGGGUGUCGGAGGUUCGAAUCCUCCAUGGCUCACCA
rnacentral:tRNA from 1 species